AUUGAACGCUGGCGGCAUGCUUUACACAUGCAAGUCGAACGGCAGCGGGGCUUCGGCCCGCCGGCGAGUGGCGAACGGGUGAGUAAUGCAUCGGAACGUGCCCAGUCGUGGGGGAUAACACAUCGAAAGAUGUGCUAAUACCGCAUACGUCCUGAGGGAGAAAGCGGGGGAUCUUCGGACCUCGCGCGAUUGGAGCGGCCGAUGUCGGAUUAGCUAGUUGGUGGGGUAAAAGCCCACCAAGGCGACGAUCCGUAGCGGGUCUGAGAGGAUGAUCCGCCACACUGGUACUGAGACACGGACCAGACUCCUACGGGAGGCAGCAGUGAGGAAUAUUGGUCAAUGGACGCAAGUCUGAACCAGCCACGUCGCGUGAAGGAAGACGGCCCUACGGGUUGUAAACUCUUUUAUACGGGAUAAAGUGCCCCACGCGUGGGGUUUGUCAUGUACCGUAUGAAUAAGGAUCGGCUAACUCCGUGCCAGCAGCCG
rnacentral:rRNA from 1 species